rnacentral:pre_miRNA from 1 species
AUAUUAUUCCCUCCGUCCAGAAAUACUUGUCAUCAAAAUGAAUAAAAAGGGAUGCAUCUAGACGUAUUUUACUUCUAGAUACAUCCCUUUUUAUCCAUUUUAAUGACAAGUAUUUUCGGACGGAGGGAGUAGUAC